rnacentral:rRNA from 1 species
CUUAAUUGGGCGUUAAGUUGCAGGGUAUAGACCCGAAACCCGGUGAUCUAGCCAUGGGCAGGUUGAAGGUUGGGUAACACUAACUGGAGGACCGAACCGACUAAUGUUGAAAAAUUAGCGGAUGACCUGUGGCUGGGGGUGAAAGGCCAAUCAAACCGGGAGAUAGCUGGUUCUCCCCGAAAGCUAUUUAGGUAGCGCCUCGUGAAUUCAUCUCCGGGGGUAGAGCACUGUUUCGGCUAGGGGGCCAUCCCGGCUUACCAACCCGAUGCAAACUGCGAAUACCGGAGAAUGUUAUCACGGGAGACACACGGCGGGUGCUAACGUCCGUCGUGAAGAGGGAAACAACCCAGACCGCCAGCUAAGGUCCCAAAGUCAUGGUUAAGUGGGAAACGAUGUGGGAAGGCCCAGACAGCCAGGAUGUUGGCUUAGAAGCAGCCAUCAUUUAAAGAAAGCGUAAUAGCUCACUGGUCGAGUCGGCCUGCGCGGAAGAUGUAACGGGGCUAAACCAUGCACCGAAGCUGCGGCAGCGACACUCAGGUGUUGUUGGGUAGGGGAGCGUUCUGUAAGCCUGCGAAGGUGGCCUGUGAGGGUUGCUGGAGGUAUCAGAAGUGCGAAUGCUGACAUAAGUAACGAUAAAGCGGGUGAAAAGCCCGCUCGCCGGAAGACCAAGGGUUCCUGUCCAACGUUAAUCGGGGCAGGGUGAGUCGACCCCUAAGGCGAGGCCGAAAGGCGUAGUCGAUGGGAAACGGGUUAAUAUUCCCGUACUUGGUGUUACUGCGAAGGGGGGACGGAGAAGGCUAUGUUGGCCGGGCGACGGUUGUCCCGGUUUAAGCGUGUAGGUGUGUGUUCCAGGUAAAUCCGGUUCACUUUAACACUGAGGCGUGACGACGAGGCACUACGGUGCUGAAGCAACAAAUGCCCUGCUUCCAGGAAAAGCCUCUAAGCAUCAGGUAACAUCAAAUCGUACCCCAAACCGACACAGGUGGUCAGGUAGAGAAUACCAAGGCGCUUGAGAGAACUCGGGUGAAGGAACUAGGCAAAAUGGUGCCGUAACUUCGGGAGAAGGCACGCUGACACGUAGGUGAAGUGAUUUACUCAUGGAGCUGAAGUCAGUCGAAGAUACCAGCUGGCUGCAACUGUUUAUUAAAAACACAGCACUGUGCAAACACGAAAGUGGACGUAUACGGUGUGACGCCUGCCCGGUGCCGGAAGGUUAAUUGAUGGGGUCAGCGCAAGCGAAGCUCCUGAUCGAAGCCCCGGUAAACGGCGGCCGUAACUAUAACGGUCCUAAGGUAGCGAAAUUCCUUGUCGGGUAAGUUCCGACCUGCACGAAUGGCGUAAUGAUGGCCAGGCUGUCUCCACCCGAGACUCAGUGAAAUUGAACUCGCUGUGAAGAUGCAGUGUACCCGCGGCAAGACGGAAAGACCCCGUGAACCUUUACUAUAGCUUGACACUGAACAUUGAGCCUUGAUGUGUAGGAUAGGUGGGAGGCUUUGAAGUGUGGACGCCAGUCUGCAUGGAGCCGACCUUGAAAUACCACCCUUUAAUGUUUGAUGUUCUAACGUGGACCCGUAAUCCGGGUUGCGGACAGUGUCUGGUGGGUAGUUUGACUGGGGCGGUCUCCUCCUAAAGAGUAACGGAGGAGCACGAAGGUUGGCUAAUCCUGGUCGGACAUCAGGAGGUUAGUGCAAUGGCAUAAGCCAGCUUGACUGCGAGCGUGACGGCGCGAGCAGGUGCGAAAGCAGGUCAUAGUGAUCCGGUGGUUCUGAAUGGAAGGGCCAUCGCUCAACGGAUAAAAGGUACUCCGGGGAUAACAGGCUGAUACCGCCCAAGAGUUCAUAUCGACGGCGGUGUUUGGCACCUCGAUGUCGGCUCAUCACAUCCUGGGGCUGAAGUAGGUCCCAAGGGUAUGGCUGUUCGCCAUUUAAAGUGGUACGCGAGCUGGGUUUAGAACGUCGUGAGACAGUUCGGUCCCUAUCUGCCGUGGGCGCUGGAGAACUGAGGGGGGCUGCUCCUAGUACGAGAGGACCGGAGUGGACGCAUCACUGGUGUUCGGGUUGUCAUGCCAAUGGCACUGCCCGGUAGCUAAAUGCGGAAGAGAUAAGUGCUGAAAGCAUCUAAGCACGAAACUUGCCCCGAGAUGAGUUCUCCCUGAGACUUAGAGUCUCCUGAAGGAACGUUGAAGACGACGACGUUGAUAGGCCGGGUGUGUAAGCGCAGCGAUGCGUUGAGCUAACCGGUACUAAUGAACCGUGAGGCUUAACCUUACA